rnacentral:misc_RNA from 1 species
GUAGGUGAACCUGCGGAAGGAUCAUUAAAGAGUUAGGGUCUUCUAGGCCCGACCUCCCAACCCUUUGCUUAUUGAACCUCUGUUGCUUCGGCGGACCCGCCUCGCGGCCGCCGGAGGACCGCUGAAAGGCGUCCUCUGGUCAGCGUCCGCCGAAAGCCAACCACUUAAACUCUGAAUAAAUCGUGUCAUAUGUCUAAGUCUAUGAUUUAAAUUAAAGCAAAACUUUCAACAACGGAUCUCUUGGUUCUGG